UCAUAGCACCAAGCAUUUACUAGUCAUCCACUCUUAUCCCCCGCAGGUGGGACCAUCGUAAGAUAUGCAGGACCCAGGAAGACAGUCUCUGAGAACCGUGUGGUACCUGAUCCAGAAAAAUGCUGACACAGUCACUUUUGGCUCUGGUGUCACCAUCCCUUACCCAUCCAUCCAUUCAACAGGCACUGAAGUUGUACUAUGCGUGAGACAGUAGAGUUUCAUGAAGAACACUAGAAUAAGCAGGUAAGCAAAUUAAAAAUUAUGAUUAAAAAUAAAAAAGUAAGUGGUUUGAGGGUAACAAACAGGGGGUUGUGUGGGAGGAGACUGUGAAGGAAUCAGCCCUGCAGUGUCAGAAGCAGACACUUCACGGGGAGAGAAGGCAGCUUGAGAUAAGCUUGGAGAAGAAAGAGGUCGCAACCAGAUUGUACAGGACCUCUUUCCUAUUCAGCCGGCAUCUUACCAGCAGCUCAGUGCCAGGAGUCAAGGCUAAGCAGAAACACCUUCUAGAGAGUACAGAGCGAGCCUGCACCUUCCGGUCUCCUUCAUGAAAAUUCUUCUGCAGCAGAUUUGGCCUUGCAUUGUAUAUCUCUGCUAUGGCCUGGGAAAGCAGAAGAUGGCCCAAGUGCUCGGGCCCCUGCACCCACGUGGGAGACCCAGAAGAACCUCCUGGCUCCUGGCUUCAGAUUGACCCAGCUCUGGUUAUUGUGGCCUUGUGGGGAUUCAACCACUGGAUGGAAGACUUUUCUCUCUGUCUGUAAUUCUGCCUCUCAAGUAAAUAAGUAAAAUCUUAAAAAGAAAUCAAUGUUUCCUUUUAAUAAACAUAAGAAGAAUA